rnacentral:lncRNA from 1 species
UUCCACCCCAAGACCAUCUAUUGUUACUUCUCCCUUGGUUCUGGUCUGUGGCACUUGUCUCUAAACUGCACAUGGUUUCUGGGCAUUGUCCCUAUUUUUAUUUCUCACUGAAGUCAUUUUCUUCAUCAUUCCCACUCCUAUUUUCUCUCCACCCUCUGCCCUGAAGUCAGGGGACCUAAAAGUUUGUCACAGCCUCCCUCACUGCAACAUCAGUCCACAGAUGGGAAGUCCCAGCUUGCAGAAGUGAUGCUGGACAAUGCAAAUAAUACAAUUCUCCAUUUCCACAGUCACUCUUGGGGAAAAGGAAGGAUCCUGAUCCUGGGAAUGCUGAGGCUCCUAUUGGAUAUCAGUCAAAUUGGGUUUAAUGAGGCCUUUCCAAGGUUUUUUUAAAUGCAAUAUUGGAGAGUAUAAUUGUUGUUUAUGGGCACAUUUGCACGAGUGACUUGGCAGGUGAUUCAGUGAAAAAUACUCAGCCCAGAUGCCAUGUCCACGCUGCAAAGCAAUGCAAAGCAAAUAAAAAUGUCAAUAAGGAAUAAGCUUCUCCAGAGAACAAGCCAGCAGCAUAUUAAAGCUGACCAGAAAUCCUUUGUUGUGGGUCACUCAAGAGGAAGAUGAGCUUGUACAGUCUGCAGGCUGUGUGCUAGGAACUGGGAAUGCCUACACAAAAUUGGUGGGACAUGCUGGUAUUUUUAGCUUUCUUAUCAAUGCUUUUCAGAAUAAGUCAAGAAGAGGUUUUCAGGAGGAAAGACAGCAAGCAAAGUCCUCUUGGACAAUCCUUUGGACAAGGCUGUGGGAAAUUGGGAGCUGCUUCUCCAGAAGAUUUUACUUCUCUGUUCCUUGGACCUUUCUCAGUAAUGCUUUCCUGGCUAGGAAGCAUUAAUUGGAUUGUACCUGUACAGGUACAUCCUCAGUGGAUGUCUCCUUACAAGAUGAGUCUUACUGUGUCCAGCUCCCAGGAUCCUAAUGCUGCAGUGCCACUCAGUCCCUUUCAGGGCUCUGGUGACUGGCAGAAGAAACAAAUGAAGAAACAAAUCAUUUUUUGGUUACCAGGAGCAGAACUGGAAGCUCACACUGCCCAGCCCCAGUGCAGCCAGUCCUAAUGAUGGGACUGCUCCCAACUGACAGAAAAACCUUUAUCUUCCCUUUCACGAGAACUUUAACCCUCCCUUUAAAUAAAAGCUUGCCUGCUAAUUGGUUUGACCCCCA